rnacentral:misc_RNA from 1 species
AAGUGUCAUCAUAAGUGUCCAUAGCACACGUGACUACUGGACGGAGUCGACGGGUGUUAAAAGUAGAGCGGAGCGAGGUGAUUUCACAACUAGACUUCAAGAUGGAGCUGAAAACAAGUCUGUCCGUCUGCUUCGCCCUGUGCGUGCUACUUCUCUCAUUCCCAGCAUCAGAUGGAUGCUGCAGAGACCACGAUCCACCGGUUUUGGUGCCGGGAACAUGUCCUUCCUCUAUUACCGUGUGCCCAGACCCACACUCAUCCGGCAAGGUUGUCCGCUGGGCUGAGCCAAGAGCAACUGACAAAAGCCAUCCGAUCAGAAUUGACAGAGAAGAUAGCUGCCCACCCAACGGUGGUCUGUUCACUGUUCACGGUUCCCCUUACCACAUCGUAUACUCUGCAACAGAUAGCAAGGAGAACAAACGGAACCCUCUCUGUUCAUUCACAAUCACAGUCAGGUACGAUCUUCACUGCAAACACAAGUAAAGCUGUAUCUACGUCCAGCCUGUCUGCACAUCAGCGAUGGUUGCUUGAAGCAGAGUGCACUUUGCCUGAUGCCUGAGACGAGAAAAAGAGCGACAAAAUUAGACCAGUAAAUUAACUGCCAGUGACCUUCAGCUUGGGCUUCAGGUUACAAAGGGCCACCAUCAAAAUGUGUCGACUUUGGUUUAAAAUUUGGCAGAUGAAUAAAUUUCGGAAGUAACCUUCUUGAAAUUCAGCAAAACUCAUUUGCCAAUGGGAUAAACAUUCAUUUUGUAAUCAAGAAAUAGCAAGAAGCCGAUUAAAUUUGAACUGUUUCGUAAAUAUGACAGGCUUAGAAAUACUUUUCGGUAAUAUUGGAAUAUAAUUACUCAGUUUUACUCAGAGAGUCGUAGAGUGUAUGCUUGUUACAGCAUGUGCUGAGGCACUUUCCUGCUAUCAAUUUGUAAAUACGUUUCGAGCACUGAUGUACAAUGUUUAGCAGUUAAACACUGGCAUUUAGGAAUUGGAAGUAUAGUGUUCAGCUCCUAAACAUGUCUAUGAUGGGAAAGCGAGAUAUGGUUUCAUUCCGUAAACUUGUUUAAUGUGUAGCUAUCUUUGAAUUGUUUUUCUAUUUUUACUUUUGUGAACAGAUAAAAAUUCAAAACCAAAAACAAACUUAAUUGUCUUGAUUUUCCUGCAAGCACACCAGGUCAGGUCUAAGAUAUGGAAAAUUGUCUGAUUAGAACCCCCCCCAAAAAAAAAGAUAGAGGCAACUUCCCAUGGCAUUACCGGCAUAUUCGUUAGCAUCUUUUCCACGCGAAAAUGAACUUUUGUAACACUUUAUAAAUGACAUUUUCCUAAUGCCUUGCAAUAGACCGGAAUGUAAAUCGUACGACAACAGAAGGGCUCAAUAAUGGAAAGUGGCAUAUCUUUUUUACCGACAGGCAGAAAAGUAUGUAGGUAAAGAUGCUGAAAUCAAAAUA